rnacentral:rRNA from 1 species
GACGAACGCUGGCGGCGCGCUUAACACACGCAAGUCGAACGGAAAGGCCCUGCUUUUGUGGGGUGCUCGAGUGGCGAACGGGUCAGUAACACGUGAGUAACCUGCCCUUGACUUUGGGAUAACUUCAGGAAACUGGGGCUAAUACCGGAUAGGAGCUCCUGCUGCAUGGUGGGGGUUGGAAAGUUUCGGCGGUUGGGGAUGGACUCGCGGCUUAUCAGCUUGUUGGUGGGGUAGUGGCUUACCAAGGCUUUGACGGGUAGCCGGCCUGAGAGGGUGACCGGCCACAUUGGGACUGAGAUACGGCCCAGACUCCUACGGGAGGCAGCAGUGGGGAAUAUUGCACAAUGGGCGGAAGCCUGAUGCAGCAACGCCGCGUGCGGGAUGACGGCCUUCGGGUUGUAAACCGCUUUCGCCUGUGACGAAGCGUGAGUGACGGUAAUGGGUAAAGAAGCACCGGCUAACUACGUG